GACAGAGGGUGCAAACGUUGUUCGGAAUUACUGGGCGUAAAGGGAGCGUAGGCGGGUUAUCAAGUUGGGGGUGAAAGCCCGGGGCUCAACCUCGGAAUUGCCUUCAAAACUGAUAACCUGGAGUAUGGAAGAGGUAAGUGGAACUCCGAGUGUAGAGGUGAAAUUCGUAGAUAUUCGGAAGAACACCAGUGGCGAAGGCGACUUACUGGUCCAUUACUGACGCUGAGGCUCGAAAGCGUGGGGAGCAAACAGG
rnacentral:rRNA from 1 species